UGAAUCUAAAACUUAACUUAGAACAACUCUCAGCAACGGAUAUCUUGGCUCUUGCAACGAUGAAGAACGCAGCGAAAUGCGAUAC
rnacentral:rRNA from 1 species